GGAGGAAAGUAGGGGAUCGUAAGACCUUGCGCUUUUGGAGUGGCCGAUGCCUGAUUAGCUAGUUGGUGGGGUAAGAGCCUACCAAGGCGACGAUCAGUAGUUGGUCUGAGAGGACGACCAGCCACACUGGGACUGAGACACGGCCCAGACUCCUACGGGAGGCAGCAGUGGGGAAUUUUGGACAAUGGGCGGAAGCCUGAUCCAGCAAUGCCGCGUGAGUGAAGAAGGCCUUCGGGUUGUAAAGCUCUUUCAGUCGAGAAGAAAAGGUUGCGACUAAUAAUCGCAACUUAUGACGGUAUCGACAGAAGAAGCACCGGCUAACUACGUGCCAGCAGCCGCGGUAAUACGUAGGGUGCGAGCGUUAAUCGGAAUUACUGGGCGUAAAGGGUGCGCAGGCGGCUCUGUAAGUCAGAUGUGAAAUCCCCGGGCUUAACCUGGGAAU
rnacentral:rRNA from 1 species